rnacentral:rRNA from 1 species
UACGUAGGGUGCGAGCGUUGUCCGGAAUUACUGGGCGUAAAGAGCGCGUAGGUGGUUUGUCGCGUUGUUCGUGAAAACCGGGGGCUUAACCCUCGGCGUGCGGGCGAUACGGGCAGACUUGAGUACUGCAGGGGAGACUGGAAUUCCUGGUGUAGCGGUGGAAUGCGCAGAUAUCAGGAAGAACACCCGUGGCGAAGGCGGCUCUCUGGGACGGUACUGACGCUGAGACGCGAAAGCGUGGGGAGCGAACAGG